rnacentral:snRNA from 1 species
AGCUUUGUGCAGUGGCAGUAUCGUAGCCAAUGAGGUUUAUCCGAGGCGCGAUUAUUGCUAAUUAAAUGUGAGGAGUUUUUCAUUCACUAUUCAGUACUAGAAAUGCAUUUAGGGUAAAAAUCAGGAAGUUU